rnacentral:tRNA from 1 species
GGACUCGUAGCUCAGCCUGGGAGAGCGCCGCCCUGAAGAGGCGGUCCUGCCCCGGUUCGAAUCCGGGCGAGUCCA